rnacentral:lncRNA from 1 species
GUCACACUGGCUGUGAUUCUCUACUGCAAAGGGGAAAUUAUGGAGAUGAGAAAUACUACCCCAGACUUUAUUCUCCUGGGACUCUUUAACCACACCAGAGCCCACCAAGUCCUCUUCAUGAUGGUUCUGAGUAUCGUUUUGACCUCCCUGUUUGGCAAUUCCCUCAUGAUUCUCCUGAUUCACCGGGACCGGCCGGCUCCACACGCCCAUGUACUUCCUCCUGAGCCAACUCUCCCUCAUGGACGUGAUGCUGGUUUCCACCACUGUGCCCAAAAUGGCGGCUGACUACUUGACCGGAAAUAAGGCCAUCUCCCGCGCUGGCUGUGGUGUGCAGAUCUUCUUCCUCCCCACACUGGGUGGUGGAGAGUGCUUCCUCUUAGCAGCCAUGGCCUAUGACCGCUAUGCGGCUGUCUGCCACCCACUCCGAUAUCCCACUCUCAUGAGCUGGCAGCUGUGCCUGAGGAUGACCAUGUCGUCCUGGCUCCUGGGUGCAGCUGACGGGCUCCUGCAGGCUGUUGCUACCCUGAGCUUCCCAUAUUGCGGUGCACACGAGAUCGAUCACUUCUUCUGCGAGGCCCCCGUGCUGGUGCGUUUGGCUUGUGCUGACACUUCAGUCUUCGAAAACGCCAUGUACAUCUGCUGUGUGUUAAUGCUCCUGGUCCCCUUUUCCCUCAUCCUGUCCUCCUAUGGUCUCAUCCUCGCUGCUGUUCUGCACAUGCGCUCUACAGAAGCCCGCAAGAAGGCCUUCGCCACCUGCUCUUCACAUGUGGCUGUGGUGGGACUCUUUUAUGGAGCUGCCAUUUUUACCUAUAUGAGACCCAAAUCCCACAGGUCCACUAACCACGACAAGGUUGUGUCAGCCUUCUAUAGUAUGUUCACCCCUUUACUAAACCCCCUCAUCUACAGUGUGAGGAACAGUGAGGUCAAGGAAGCCCUGAAACGGUGGCUGGGGACAUGUGUAAACCUGAAACACCAGCAAAAUGAGGCCCACAGGUCAAGAUGAUCUAGUGUCAAAUGACUCUAAGUUCCUGAAUUUAUCAACAUUUUAACACAUUGUAAUUCUCUCCCUUUAGUAGUUCAUGAACAGAAAAUUAAGUUUGUGCAUUGAUAUAAU